rnacentral:rRNA from 1 species
CACAUGCAAUGUCGAACGCGAAAGAGUUCUUCANNACUUGAGUAGAGUGGCGCACGGGUGACUAACGCGUAGAUAACCUACCUCCAUGUUUGGGAUAACCAGCCGAAAGGUGACUAAUACCGGAUAUGCUUGCUUUUCAUAAGUUUUGCAAGCAAAGGUGGCCUCUGAUUUAAGCUAUCGCAUGGAGAGGGGUCUGCGUACCAUUAGCUAGUUGGUGGGGUAAUGGCCUACCAAGGCAACGAUGGUUAGCGGGUCUGAGAGGAUGAUCCGUCACACUGGCACUGAAACACGGGCCAGACUCCUACGGGAGGCAGCAGUGAGGAAUAUUGCGCAAUGGGGGAAACCCUGACGCAGCGACGCCGCGUGAGUGAGGAAGGCCUUCGGGUCGUAAAGCUCUGUCAAAAGGGAAGAAAUGCAUAAAGGCUAAUACUCUUUAUGUUUGACGGUACCUUUAAAGGAAGCACCGGCUAACUCCGUGCCAGCAGCCGCGGUAAUACGGAGGGUGCAAGCGUUGUUCGGAAUUACUGGGCGUAAAGGGCGCGCAGGCGGCUUGGCAAGUCAGAUGUGAAAGCCCACGGCUUAACCGUGGACGUGCAUUUGAAACUGCCAGGCUUGAGUAUCAGAGGGGAAAGUGGAAUUCCUGGUGUAGAGGUGAAAUUCGUAGAUAUCAGGAGGAAUACCAGUGGCGAAGGCGACUUUCUGGCUGAAUACUGACGCUGAGGCGCGAAAGCGUGGGGAGCAAACAGGAUUAGAUACCCUGGUAGUCCACGCCGUAAACGAUGUCAACUAGAUGUAGGGGGUGUUGAUCCCCUCUGUGUCGCAGCUAACGCAUUAAGUUGACCGCCUGGGGAGUACGGUCGCAAGAUUAAAACUCAAAAGGAAUUGACGGGGGCCCGCACAAGCGGUGGAGUAUGUGGUUUAAUUCGAUGCAACGCGAAGAACCUUACCUGGUCUUGACAUCCCGAGAAUCUCUUGGAAACAAGAGAGUGCCCUCUUUGAGGGAGCUUGGUGACAGGUGCUGCAUGGCUGUCGUCAGCUCGUGUCGUGAGAUGUUGGGUUAAGUCCCGCAACGAGCGCAACCCUUACCUUUAGUUGCCAGCAGUUCGGCUGGGCACUCUAAAGGGACUGCCGGUGUCAAACCGGAGGAAGGUGGGGAUGACGUCAAGUCCUCAUGGCCUUUAUGACCAGGGCUACACACGUACUACAAUGGCCGGUACAAAGGGCAGCAACAGGGCGACCUGAAGCGAAUCCCGUAAAGCCGGUCUCAGUCCGGAUUGGAGUCUGCAACUCGACUCCAUGAAGUCGGAAUCGCUAGUAAUCGUGGAUCAGCAUGCCACGGUGAAUACGUUCCCGGGCCUUGUACACACCGCCCGUCACAAAGACGAGGAGUCGUUGUACAAGAAGCAGUGAGCNACUUUAGAGNAGGCUGCCAAGGUAUGGUAGGUAACUGGGGUG